AAUAAUUGCAGGGUUGUGGGUUUCAGUGUCUAACGUUUGACCGUUCGUCUUAUUUGAAUUUUUUUUAUGAUUUAUGUUUUUAUUGUUAUUAGAUGAUAAAAUAUGAAUACUAUUUUAUGUGUGACUUAAUUUUUAAAAUAUUUCUAUAAACUUUUUAAAUAAGACGGACAGAUAAAUGUUGGGUAUAGAAACUUAUGGUUGUACUUGAA
rfam:Oryza meridionalis cultivar OR44 (W2112) chromosome 11, whole genome shotgun sequence.